GACGAACGCUGGCGGCGUGCUUAACACAUGCAAGUCGAACGGAAAGGCCCUGCUUUUGUGGCGUGCUCGAGUGUCGAACACGUGAGUAACACGUGAGUAACCUCCCCUUGACUUUGGGGUAUAUUCAGGGAACUGGGGCUCAUACCCCAUAUGAGCGCCUGCAGCGUGGGAUGGGUUGGAAAGAUUCGGCGGUUUGGGAUGGCCUCGCGGAUCAUCGGCGUGUUGGUGGGGUAGUGGCUUACCAAGGCAUUGACGGGUAGCCGGCCUGAGAGGGUGACCGGGCACAGUGGGCCUGAGAUACGGGCCAUACUGCUACGGGAGGCAGCGGUGGGGAAUAGUGCACGAUGGGCGGAAGCCUGAAGCAGCAACUCCGCGUGGGGGAGGACGGUUUUCGGGUAGGAAACCGCGUUCGCCUGGGACGAAGCGUGAGUGACGGUAACUGGCAAAGAAGCAACGGCUAACUACGUG
rnacentral:rRNA from 1 species